CCAAUAGCGUAUAUUAAAGUUGUUGCAGUUAAAAAGCUCGUAGUUGAAUUUCGGGGUUCAUCCGUUGGUCGGGCUUUUUUGGUCUGUACUGGCGUGAUGAAUUCCUACCUUCUGAAUAACCAGCAUGUCAUUAAUUUGGUGCGCUGGGGAAGCAGGACUGUUACCUUGAAAAAAUUAGAGUGCUUAAAGCAGGCUAUCGCCUGAAUACAUUAGCAUGGAAUAAUGAAAUAGGACGGCAUGGUUCUAUUUUGUUGGUUUCUAGGAUCACCGUAAUGAUUAAUAGGGAUAGUUGGGGGCAUUAGUAUUCAAUUGUCAGAGGUGAAAUUCUUGGAUUUAUUGAAGACUAACUUCUGCGAAAGCAUUUGCCAAGGAUGUUUUCAUUAAUCAAGAACGAAAGUUAGGGGAUCGAAGACGAUCAGAUACCGUCGUAGUCUUAACCAUAAACUAUGCCGACUAGGGAUCGGACGAUGUUAAUUUUUUAAUGACUCGUUCGGCGCCUUACG
rnacentral:rRNA from 1 species